UCAAGCGAAUAAGCGCACACGGUGGAUGCCUUGGCGGUCAGAGGCGAUGAAGGACGUGGCAGCCUGCGAAAAGUAUCGGGGAGCUGGCAACAAGCUUUGAUCCGGUAAUGUCCGAAUGGGGAAACCCACCCGCUUGCGGGUAUCCUGCAGUGAAUACAUAGCUGCUGGAAGCGAACCUGGUGAACUGAAAUAUCUAAGUAACCAGAGGAAAAGAAAUCAACCGAGAUUCCGUAAGUAGCGACGAGCGAACGCGGACUAGCCCUUAAGCUGGAUUGGUUCUAGGAAAAUGCUCUGGAAAGAGCAGCCAUAGAAGGUGAUAGCCCUGUAUCUGAAAGGGCCAUUCCAGUGAAGACGAGUAGGGCGGGGCACGUGAAACCCUGUCUGAACAUGGGGGGACCAUCCUCCAAGGCUAAAUACUACUGACCGACCGAUAGUGAACCAGUACCGUGAGGGAAAGGCGAAAAGAACCCCGGAGAGGGGAGUGAAAUAGAACCUGAAACCGUGUGCGUACAAGCAGUAGGAGCUCCGCAAGGAGUGACUGCGUACCUUUUGUAUAAUGGGUCAGCGACUUACUGUUCGUGGCAAGCUUAACCGUAUAGGGGAGGCGAAGGGAAACCGAGUCUGAUAAGGGCGCAUAGUCGCGGGCAGUAGACCCGAAACCGGGUGAUCUAGUCAUGCCCAGGGUGAAGGUGCGGUAACACGCACUGGAGGCCCGAACCCACUCCCGUUGCAAAGGUAGGGGAUGAGGUGUGAUUAGGAGUGAAAAGCUAAUCGAACCCGGAGAUAGCUGGUUCUCCUCGAAAGCUAUUUAGGUAGCGCCUCAUAUGUAUCCUCUCGGGGGUAGAGCACUGUUAUGGCUAGGGGGUCAUCGCGACUUACCAAACCAUUGCAAACUCCGAAUACCGAGACGGACUGUAUGGGAGACACACGGCGGGUGCUAACGUCCGUCGUGAAAAGGGAAACAACCCAGACCCACAGCUAAGGUCCCAAAUUUUGUGCUAAGUGGAAAACCAUGUGGAAAGGCACAGACAGCCAGGAGGUUGGCUUAGAAGCAGCCACCCUUUAAAGAAAGCGUAAUAGCUCACUGGUCGAGUCGGUCUGCGGGGAAGAUUUAACGGGGCUAAGCACAGAACCGAAGCUUGGGGUGCAUAACUUUGUUAUGCGCGGUAGAGGAGCGUUCCGUAAGCCGUUGAAGGUGGAUUGAGAAGUCUGCUGGAGGUAUCGGAAGUGCGAAUGCUGACAUGAGUAACGAUAAUGCGGGUGAAAAACCCGCACGCCGAAAGCCCAAGGUUUCCUUGCGCAACGUUAAUCGGCGCAGGGUGAGUCGGCCCCUAAGGCGAGGACGAAAGUCGUAGUCGAUGGGAAGCAGGUUAAUAUUCCUGCACCUCGCGUAAGUGCGAUGGAGGGACGGAGAAGGUUAGGUGUACCAGGCGUUGGUUGUCCUGGGGAAAGGCGGUAGGUUUGGAUCUUUGGCAAAUCCGGGAUCCUUUAAGACCGAGCACCGAGACGAGCCUUUAUGGCGAAGUCACUGAUACCACGCUUCCAGGAAAAGCUCCUAAGCUUCAGCUUACGCAGACCGUACCGUAAACCGACACAGGUGGGUAGGAUGAGAAUUCUCAGGCGCUUGAGAGAACUCGGGUGAAGGAACUAGGCAACAUGGCACCGUAACUUCGGGAGAAGGUGCACCCUUUUUGGUGGCUCGUGCGAGCUAUAGCUGAAGAGGGUCGCAGUAACCAGGCCGCUGCGACUGUUUAUCAAAAACACAGCACUCUGCAAACACGAAAGUGGACGUAUAGGGUGUGACGCCUGCCCGGUGCUGGAAGGUUAAUUGAUGGGGUCAGCCGCAAGGCGAAGCUCUUGAUCGAAGCCCCAGUAAACGGCGGCCGUAACUAUAACGGUCCUAAGGUAGCGAAAUUCCUUGUCGGGUAAGUUC
rnacentral:rRNA from 1 species